rnacentral:rRNA from 1 species
AAUGAACGCUGGCGGCAGGCCUAACACAUGCAAGUCGAACGGAUCCUUCGGGAUUAGUGGCGGACGGGUGAGUAACGCGUGGGAACAUACCCAAAGGUACGGAAUAGCCUCGGGAAACUGGGAGUAAUACCGUAUGUGCGCGAAAGAGGAAAGAUUUAUCGCCUUUGGAUUGGCCCGCGUUGGAUUAGGUAGUUGGUGGGGUAAUGGCCUAUCAAGCCGACGAUCCAUAGCUGGUUUGAGAGGAUGAUCAGCCACACUGGGACUGAGACACGGACCAGAAUCCUACGGGAGGCAGCAGUGGGGAAUCUUAGACAAUGGGGGAAACCCUGAUCUAGCCAUGCCGCGUGAUCGAUGAAGGCCUUAGGGCUGUAAAGAUCUUUCAGGUGGGAAGAUAAUGACUGUACCACCAGAAGAAGCCCCGGCUAACUCCGUGCCAGCCGCCGCCGUAA